rnacentral:ncRNA from 1 species
CACACGGGGGCCCCUGCGAGGGGCUGAGAUCGGGCUAUGAGCCCGGGACCGUCGAACCUGAUCCGGUUGAUACCGGCGUAGGAAGUGAGGAGA